GACGAACGCUGGCGGCGUGCUUAACACAUGCAAGUCGAACGGAAAGGCCCUGCUUUUGUGGGGUGCUCGAGUGGCGAACGGGUGAGUAACACGUGAGUAACCUGCCCUUGACUUUGGGAUAACUUCAGGAAACUGGGGCUAAUACCGGAUAGGAUCUCCUGCUGCAUGGUGGGGGUUGGAAAGUUUCGGCGGUUGGGGAUGGACUCGCGGCUUAUCAGCUUGUUUGUGGGGUAGUGGCUUACCAAGGCUGUGACGGGUAGCCGGCCUGAGAGGGUGACCGGCCACAUUGGGACUGAGAUACGGCCCAGACUCGUACGGGAGGCAGCGGUGGGGAAUAUUGCACAAUGGGCGGAAGCCUGAUGUAGCAACGCCGCGUGCGGGAUGACGGCUUUCGGGUUGUAAACCGCUUUCGACUGUGACGAAGCGUGAGUGACGGUAAUGGGUAAAGAAGCAACGGCUAACUACGUG
rnacentral:rRNA from 1 species